GACGAACGCUGGCGGCGUGCUUAACACAUGCAAGUCGAACGGAAAGGCCUGCUUUCCCUUGUGGAUUGCGGGUACUCGAGUGGCGAACGGGUGAGUAACACGUGAGUGAUCUGCCCCCAACUUGGGUAUAAGCCUGGGAAACUGGGUCUAAUUCCCGAUAGGACUGCAGGGUGGUGCCUGUGGUGGAAAACGAUUUUCUAGUGGUUGGGGAUGAGCUCGCGGCCUAUCAGCUUGUUGGUGGGGUAAUGGCCUACCAAGGCGGCGACGGGUAGCCGGCCUGAGAGGGUGGACGGCCACAUUGGGACUGAGAUACGGCCCAGACUCCUACGGGAGGCAGCAGUGGGGAAUAUUGCACAAUGGGCGGAAGCCUGAUGCAGCGACGCCGCGUGGGGGAUGACGGCCUUCGGGUUGUAAACUCCUUUCGACCGCGAGGAAGCCACCUGGUUGGAAGGGUGGUGACGGUAGUGGUAGAAGAAGCACCGGCUAACUACGUA
rnacentral:rRNA from 1 species